rnacentral:rRNA from 1 species
AUUGAACGCUGGCGGCAGGCCUAACACAUGCAAGUCGAGCGGAUGAGGGGUGCUUGCACCCUGAUUCGGCGGCGGACGGGUGAGUAAUGCCUAGGAAUCUGCCCGAUAGUGGGGGACAACGUUUCGAAAGGAACGCUAAUACCGCAUACGUCCUACGGGAGAAAGUGGGGGCUCUUCGGACCUCACGCUAUCGGAUGAGCCUAGGUCGGAUUAGCUAGUUGGUGGGGUAAAGGCUCACCAAGGCGACGAUCCGUAACUGGUCUGAGAGGAUGAUCAGUCACACUGGAACUGAGACACGGUCCAGACUCCUACGGGAGGCAGCAGUGGGGAAUAUUGGACAAUGGGCGAAAGCCUGAUCCAGCCAUGCCGCGUGUGUGAAGAAGGUCUUCGGAUUGUAAAGCACUUUAAGUCGGGAGGAAGGGCUGCAGGUUAAUACCUUGCAGCCUUGACGGUACCUGAAGAAUAAGCACCGGCUAACUACGUGACAGCAGCCGCCGUAAAAC